AACGGCUGGCGGCGUGCCUAACACAUGCAAGUCGAACGGAUUGAAGGGGCUUGCUCCUUCAGUUAGUGGCGCACGGGUGAGUAACGCGUAGAUAAUCUGCCUGAUGAUCCGGGAUAACAGUUCGAAAGGACUGCUAAUACCGGAUAAGCCCACGUGGUCUUUGGACCGUGCGGGAAAAGGGGGGGGACCUUCGGGCCUUCUGUCAUCAGAUGAGUCUGCGUACCAUUAGCUAGUUGGUAGGGUAAAGGCCUACCAAGGCUACGAUGGUUAGCUGGUCUGAGAGGACGACCAGCCACACUGGGACUGAGACACGGCCCAGACUCCUACGGGAGGCAGCAGUGGGGAAUUUUGGACAAUGGGCGAAAGCCUGAUCCAGCCAUGCCGCGUGAGUGAAGAAGGCCUUCGGGUUGUAAAGCUCUUUCGGCUGGGAAGAAAUCGCACAGGCUAAUACUCUGUGUGGAUGACGGUACCAGCACAAGAAGCACCGGCUAACUACGUG
rnacentral:rRNA from 1 species